CCUGGAACAAUAUUCUGUAACAAUGAACUUUACAAUGACAUUUGGUGGCAUAUGAAUUUGAAUUCGGAAGAAACACAUCAAUUAACGAAAGAAACCUUGAUGCAAUUAAUAAAUAAUAACAAGACCGGCCUACUAAGAGCAGAUGCCCUGCCAAGAGAAUGGAAUAUAAAAGGCCAGCAAAAUCUUUCAGAAACCUGACAUCAUGGGACACUUGUACUAAAGCACGAUUUGCAGCUUUUCUUAAACUCUACAUAUUAUGUACAUACCUGCAAAGCAAGGAACUCCUGUAAACAUAAACACAGAG